rnacentral:rRNA from 1 species
UUGACAUCCGGAGAAUUUAGCAGAGAUGCUUUAGUGCCUUCGGGAACUCUGAGACAGGUGCUGCAUGGCUGUCGUCAGCUCGUGUUGUGAAAUGUUGGGUUAAGUCCCGCAACGAGCGCAACCCUUAUCCUUUGUUGCCAGCACGUAAUGGUGGGAACUCAAAGGAGACUGCCGGUGAUAAACCGGAGGAAGGUGGGGAUGACGUCAAGUCAUCAUGGCCCUUACGAGUAGGGCUACACACGUGCUACAAUGGCGCAUACAAAGAGAAGCGACCUCGCGAGAGCAAGCGGACCUCAUAAAGUGCGUCGUAGUCCGGAUUGGAGUCUGCAACUCGACUCCAUGAAGUCGGAAUCGCUAGUAAUCGUAAAUCAGAAUGUUACGGUGAAUACGUUCCCGGGCCUUGUACACACCGCCCGUCACACCAUGGGAGUGGGUUGCAAAAGAAGUAGAUAGCUUAACCUUCGGGAGGGCGUUUACCACUUUGUGAUUCAUGACUGGGGUGAAGUCGUAACAAGGUAGGCGUAGUGCU